AGUGAACGCUGGCGGUAGGCCUAACACAUGCAAGUCGAACGGCAGCACAGUAAGAGCUUGCUCUUACGGGUGGCGAGUGGCGGACGGGUGAGGAAUACAUCGGAAUCUACUUUUUCGUGGGGGAUAACGUAGGGAAACUUACGCUAAUACCGCAUACGACCUACGGGUGAAAGCAGGGGAUCUUCGGACCUUGCGCGAUUGAAUGAGCCGAUGUCGGAUUAGCUAGUUGGCGGGGUAAAGGCCCACCAAGGCGACGAUCCGUAGCUGGUCUGAGAGGAUGAUCAGCCACACUGGAACUGAGACACGGUCCAAACUCCUACGGGAGGCAGCAGUGGGGAAUAUUGGACAAUGGGCGCAAGCCUGAUCCAGCCAUACCGCGUGGGUGAAGAAGGCCUUCGGGUUGUAAAGCCCUUUUGUUGGGAAAGAAAAGCAGCAGGUUAAUACCCCGCUGUUCUGACGGUACCCAAGGAAUAAGCACCGGCUAACUUCGUG
rnacentral:rRNA from 1 species